GACGAACGCUGGCGGCGUGCCUAAUACAUGCAAGUAGAACGCUGAAGAGAGGAGCUUGCUCUUCUUGGAUGAGUUGCGAACGGGUGAGUAACGCGUAGGUAACCUGCCUUGUAGCGGGGGAUAACUAUUGGAAACGAUAGCUAAUACCGCAUAACAAUGGAUGACACAUGUCAUUUAUUUGAAAGGGGCAAUUGCUCCACUACAAGAUGGACCUGCGUUGUAUUAGCUAGUAGGUGAGGUAACGGCUCACCUAGGCGACGAUACAUAGCCGACCUGAGAGGGUGAUCGGCCACACUGGGACUGAGACACGGCCCAGACUCCUACGGGAGGCAGCAGUAGGGAAUCUUCGGCAAUGGGGGCAACCCUGACCGAGCAACGCCGCGUGAGUGAAGAAGGUUUUCGGAUCGUAAAGCUCUGUUGUAAGUCAAGAACGAGUGUGAGAGUGGAAAGUUCACACUGUGACGGUAGCUUACCAGAAAGGGACGGCUAACUACGUGCCAGCAGCCGCGGUAAUACGUAGGUCCCGAGCGUUGUCCGGAUUUAUUGGGCGUAAAGCGAGCGCAGGCGGUUUGAUAAGUCUGAAGUUAAAGGCUGUGGCUCAACCAUAGUUCGCUUUGGAAACUGUCAAACUUGAGUGCAGAAGGGGAGAGUGGAAUUCCAUGUGUAGCGGUGAAAUGCGUAGAUAUAUGGAGGAACACCGGUGGCGAAAGCGGCUCUCUGGUCUGUAACUGACGCUGAGGCUCGAAAGCGUGGGGAGCGAACAGGAUUAGAUACCCUGGUAGUCCACGCCGUAAACGAUGAGUGCUAGGUGUUGGAUCCUUUCCGGGAUUCAGUGCCGCAGCUAACGCAUUAAGCACUCCGCCUGGGGAGUACGACCGCAAGGUUGAAACUCAAAGGAAUUGACGGGGGCCCGCACAAGCGGUGGAGCAUGUGGUUUAAUUCGAAGCAACGCGAAGAACCUUACCAGGUCUUGACAUCCCGAUGCUACUUCUAGAGAUAGAAAGUUACUUCGGUACAUCGGUGACAGGUGGUGCAUGGUUGUCGUCAGCUCGUGUCGUGAGAUGUUGGGUUAAGUCCCGCAACGAGCGCAACCCCUAUUGUUAGUUGCCAUCAUUCAGUUGGGCACUCUAGCGAGACUGCCGGUAAUAAACCGGAGGAAGGUGGGGAUGACGUCAAAUCAUCAUGCCCCUUAUGACCUGGGCUACACACGUGCUACAAUGGUUGGUACAACGAGUUGCGAGUCGGUGACGGCAAGCUAAUCUCUUAAAGCCAAUCUCAGUUCGGAUUGUAGGCUGCAACUCGCCUACAUGAAGUCGGAAUCGCUAGUAAUCGCGGAUCAGCACGCCGCGGUGAAUACGUUCCCGGGCCU
rnacentral:rRNA from 1 species